rnacentral:lncRNA from 1 species
UUUUAUUCAGCUUUAAAUUAUAUUUAUUUCAUAAACACAAGGUUAGUUUUUUCAUAAUAUUAGUUAUUAUUAAUACAUAUUAAUCACAUGAAAUAAAAUUGAAUUACAUUAUUUUCAUAUUCAUCAACAAAUAUAUAAUAUUAAUAGUUAAUUUUAGUAUUGAAGUACCAUAAAAAUUAUUUUUUGAUUAGUAUUAUUAGUAAUUAAAAAUAAUUAUUAAUAAUUAAUAAUAAU